GUUCACUGCCAUACCAACCUGAGCGCACCUGAUCUUGUUUGAGCUCCGCAGGUCAGCAGGGGUGGGCCUGGUUAGCACUUGUAUCGGGUGAUGUUUGCGAUGGCUGUAGCUCAGGAGGUAGCGCAUA
rnacentral:rRNA from 1 species